UAAGACAAGGGAAAUGGAGUAAGACUCGUAUAUAGACUGAGCAACUUUGCAGAGCAUCUCAAGCAAGUUACUUCCUUCCAUACAAUUUCAAGCUAGUCACCCAAAGUUGAGAUUCUUCGGUCUUUAUGAGCCAUUAGUGGGCUUGCCUUUUGCUUUAAGCCUCUGUAAAAUCACAAAAAAAGAAAAAAAAAAAGGUGCUUUACAUGAACAAUUGUAUCUGGUGUACUGUUGCCUUUGGUGCUUUUAUGGAACCUUUCAGAAAGCCCUUGAAACCAAGCUUUUCUUCUGCUAAACAAUAACAGCACCACCAUUUCCGCAAAGAAGAACUAGAAAGAAACUACUAUCAGAUGGCUCGAAGUCAUAGAGAAGAGGAAGUAGUAAUCAAGCUUGAUGAUAUUAAUGACAAUAGCAAAAAGAUUAACGGAAGUCCAAGCAGCAAUAACUUUCAGGGAAGAAGUGAAUCUGUACGACGAAGAAAUAAAGAGUUGUAUGACCAACAAAACCACCAAGGGUACUUGAAUUCAGGUGGAGCAGAGGUUGUAAAGUGUAGUUCAAAUGUUUCAUUUCAGCGAGGCUCGUGGAAGCCAGUGAUGAGCAUCACCAAGUCUAGGCUGAUAGACCCGCCAGAGGAACCAUGUCAAAGUUCAGUAAACUCUGGAAGGAUGCCUGAGAAAGAUCAAGAUUAUGAGGACGACGAUGAUACUGAAGACAUCCCUCAAGAAUAUAAGAGAAUAAAAUUCAGCACACUGACAAUGCUUCAAUUUGUGAGUCUUAUUUUGAUUAUUGCAGCCUUAGUUUGUAGCCUUUGGUUCCCAUUUAUAAAGAGGCACAUAGUGUGUGAUCUUCCAUUAUGGAAGUGGGAAAUAAUGGUUUUAGCAUUAAUCUGUGGACGUUUAGUCUCAGGUUGGGGAAUUCGAUUGGUUGUGUUCUAUAUAGAACGCAAUUUUCUUUUGCGAAAACGGGUAUUAUAUUUUGUUUAUGGGCUAAGGAGAUCUGUUCAGAAUUGCCUCUGGUUGGGUUUGGUCUUGCUUGUAUGGCAUAGUAUUUUCCAUGAAAAGGUUACAAGGAAGACAGAGAGCAAGAUUUUGCCUUAUUUAAAUAAGGUUCUUGUUUGUUUUCUUGUGGGUACCGUAAUAUGGCUCCUGAAAACUCUGCUUGUUAAGGUCCUGGCUUCAAAAUUUCAUGUAAACACAUUCUUUCAACGAAUCCAGGAGGCUUUGUUUAAUCAGUAUGUGAUCAAAACGCUCUCUAGUCCACCAUUGUUUAAAUGGUAUGACACGCAAGAAGAGGAAGCUAUGGCUGAGAUUCAAGAGUUAGAGAAAGCCGAGGUUACUUUGCCUGGUGACCCUGGGGAAACUCUGCCUUCCAGGAGUAGGAGAAUGAUAGGAAAUGGUAGACUAGAAAAAAGUCCCAAGGUUGGGAAGAAUUCUAGAUUUUUGAGGAAAAGGUUUAAAAGGGAAGAUGAGGAGAUCUCUAUUGAUCAACUACAUAAGCUGAAUCAGAAGAAUAUAUCAGCUUGGAAUAUGAGGAGGUUGGUUAAUAUUAUCCAACAUGGGGAUUUAUCCACUCUGGAUGAGCAGUUACUGGAGUCAAAAACUGAGGAUGAAGCUUUGCUGCAAAUUAGAAGUGAAUGCCAGGCAAAAGAGGCAGCCAAGAGGAUAUUUCAGAAUGUGGCAAAGCCAGGGUCGGAAUACAUUUACCUCGAGGAUGUGAUGCACUUUAUGAGUAAAGAGGAAGCUUUGAAGACAAUGCAUCUGUUUGGAGUAGCAGCUGAGAAUAAGGGAUUCAGCAAGUUAUUUAGAGAGAGAAGGGCACUAGCAUUGUCUCUCACUGAUACAAAUACUGCUGUGGACGAACUCCAUAUACUUGUAGCUAUCAUUACAUUGAUAAUAUGGCUUUACUUGUUCCAAUUAUCCACUUCCUUCUUUAUAAGUUCACAUUUAUUUGAAUACCUGCAGAACAGCAAUCAUCUUCUUAUUUGUAAUGCACCCAUUUGAUGUUGGUGAUCGUUGUGAAGUGGAUGGAAUGGUAGUUGACGAGAUGAACAUACUAACUACAGUUUUUUUGAGAUUUGAUAACCAAAAGAUCAUAUACCCUAACAGUAUUCUAGCUACUAAGCCCAUUAGUAACUAUAAUCGUAGUCCAGACAUGGGAGAUGCAAUUGAUUUCUGUAUUAACAUCUCCACCCCAAUGGAAAAGGUCACCAGCAUGAAAGAAAGAAUAACAAGGUAUAAUGAGCACUGGCAGCCAGGCCCAAUGGUGAUAAUGAGGGACGUUAUAGACAUGAACAAACUGAUGAUGUCAGUGUGGCUUACACACAAAAUGGACUAUCAGGACAUAAAGGAGAGAUGGAUUAGGAGAGACCUCCUGCUUGAAGAGAUGAUCAAAGUUUUCAAGGAGCUCGAUAUUGAAUACCGCCUACUGCCUCUUGAUGUGAAUGUGCGGAACUUGCCCCCUCUGGUAUCAGACAGGCUUCCUUCAACUUGGAAAACUUUUGCUAGCUAAUUCUGUAGGACAAAUAUAGUGAGGCCGACUCCUAGAAUGAGCAUUGGCACCCAGCACCAAUUCCUUUUCGGCCUAUGAAGGAAUUGGCAAGGGUUCCCCAUAAGAAUUGUUGGAUUUAGGAAAGGAUUUAUGGUGACUCAAGAUAAACUCUUAUCUCCCUGAUAGAAUAGUAAUGAAAUACAUUUCAAGUUUGUUGCA